rnacentral:rRNA from 1 species
UUGAGCCUACGGGGCGCAGCAGUGAGGAAUAUUGGUCAAUGGGCGGGAGCCUGAACCAGCCACGUCGCGUGAGGGAAGACGGUCCUAUGGAUUGUAAACCUCUUUUGUCGGGGAGCAAGGCCCGCCACGUGUGGCGGGAAGGAGAGUACCCGAAGAAAAAGCAUCGGCUAACUCCGUGCCCGCAGCCGCGGUAAUACGGGGGAUGCGAGCGUUAUCCGGAUUUUUUGGGUUUAA